CACCUCACUUCUCUCACAUUAUCACCAAACUAAGAUGAAUGGAAAAAAUCAAACAGAAUCUUUGGAAGUCUCCAGGAAGAAAUUAGGUCUCCUGGCAAGCUGGAUGGGACCAAGAAGAGACCCUGGGGCUCGCUGAGUUACAGCGCCGAGAAUCAAAUCAUUCUACUUCUGCCGUGGGCCCUGUGGGCUGUAGACACAGCGUAUUCUGAUUGCUAACUGUUAACAUGUCAUACUUCCCUAAGUAGUAGUUUUGUAUAGUAAACCGUUCAUAUAAUUUUAA